AGCGGUGAAUUUCCUAAGCAAUCAGGACUAACGUUCCCGGGCAGGUAUAGACUACGACACCUUAACGAGUUAAAAUGCAAAGCCAAGUAGAACAUUAAAUCAGAGUGAAUGAGACAACCGAUACCCAGAGCCAUCAGGCCUCCGGACAGACAAGAGACAGUGGGUGUCAUGUCUCUACCUGUUAAUCAAAUAUGCCCAGCUGAGGAGGGAAAUGUGCCAAGUUGCCGACAGGAGGAUUCUGUGAAAGAAAAGAACGAGGACAGCAGUGAGAUAGGGAAAAAGAUACAAACACUGCUGGAGGUUUAGAUUUAAUGUCCGAAAGACGUUUUGCUGGAGUGUGCUGGUUCUUGAUUACAAUGUUGACAUUUUACUUGGAAUUAACCUGAUUAAUGUCAAUGAGCGUAAAAGCACAUAGCUCAGCGUUUCUCAUGAUCACAGGAGAUGGAUUAAGAAAGAAGGCUUUCAAAUUGAAUAUACCUCUCCCUGCUCAGCCUGCUAAUUGUGCCAUUUACCACUACUUGAGUCACUGACCGACGCUAUUUAGUCAAACUAAUGAUGAUGCACAGUCCGAGCCGUCCCUUGAUAAUUAAACGCAAGCUCCAUCUCUUUUCCUGUAUAAGCUUUUUUUUUCUUCUUUUUUUUUGGUGUGUGAGUGAAUUAACAGGUGCAUGCAAAAAAACAUAUCGAUGCCGCGGUCACUUUGUUCUUUUAAAUCACUUGUGGCAUUGUUAGCUGGGAAAUGACUUGACUUGGAAUCCAUUCUCUAUCACUUGUUAUUGAUCAGGCAGAGUAAGAACUGUGAGCGUUCUUGUUUUGAACAUUUAAUCAGGUGAGUCGUUUUGUUGAGCACGCAGCCAAAAAUCUCCUACAAAGACUUUUGGGCAAUUCUACACUCUGCACAUGUUUACAAUCCCAUCAAUUGAUUUUUUCAUAUUUGUUUCUGCUGGAUGAUUUUAGACUGCUCUUGAGGUUUUACCUUCAGUUGUUCAUCCUUUAUGAUUCCUAUCUACAUUUUCUUAUGAUUUCAUGGUCGUAUUUUUGCCUCUAUUAUACAAUAAUCACCAAUGGCACCAGCAUAGGGGUAAACACGGCUGGAGAAUGACCUGGGACUGAACACAUCUUCCAAGACUGCUGCAGGACAGUUUGACAACAGGAUACAAGUAGCCUACAGAGGCGAUUUACAGGAGCUCUGAACAAGACCAAGACUGUUCUGGUCGUGAGAGUGACCUGGAGCCCUUUCACCGCUGACAGCCGAUCAGCUGACACAACACAAGGCCAGAUAUUGUUUCCUCGAUGACGAUGGCGACGAUGGCGCUCCUACACCUGUUCGCUCUGAGAGGCGAAGCCACCUGUUAGGCAGACCGUAAUGACAAUAUGAAGUGGCGACGGCAUCGUCUCUCACUCACCAGGAACCAUUCCAGCGAGCGUGGAGGUUGGGUAGCUGCCCUGGCCUGUGGGCGGAACGUGAGGGGGAUACCCAGGGAAGACGUCAGGGUACGAGGGGCGCUCAAAGACCCGGUCCAGCGCUUCCAGCUGCUGCUGGGUGAAGGCAUCUGCCCUAAGGUGUUUCCGUAAACUCUCCACACUACCCUGAGAAUCACUGUUUGGGCCAGAACCAUCUGAACCAUCUACAAGAAGAGAGAGCAACAAUCGAGACACUGACCCCGGGAAGCUGGCCUUUACUUCAAGCUAUAUGCACUUUAUAUUCUCCUCAUGUGUUUUUUUUUUUUUUUUUCCCCCUGUACCACCUCUGCGGGGGGAUCUGAGGAGGACAGAAAGGGAUGGAGUGCAGGUUUUUUUUUCCCGCCCCUUAAUGGCUGUAGUGAGCCACUGGCUACAUCACACAGGCUUUUUCCCUGCACCCCCCACCACAGUAGUAACACCAUCAUGAUCUGAGAGCCCUCUGGUAAUUGAUGGAUUACCAUCACUUGCAAAUAUAUACAUGUUGUGGCAAGCAUGUAUACUAAUGAAAGCAGCAGCGAGCCCAUUAUAGUGCCUUUUUUUCAUUCCAGCCAGGGUGAUUUUUUAAAUUUAUUUAUUUUCUUUUCUCCUCUUUCUCUCCUCCCCAAAAAAACCCAACCGGUGCAAUUCAAGACUCAAGAGCAUUUUUUUUUUUCUUAAAAGCACAAUUUCCCUUUUUUCACAAUUCAAUACCGCUUUCAUUCUCGCCGAGUGUGUGAUUCCAUUUGGAGGACAAGGGGCUGAAUAAAAUCGUACAGUCUAGUUCAAUCAUCCUGCUCUCCAAACACAGGAAUUUUCUCCCGACUCCUGACCUGAUUACCCCGACGGUUGGGGAAGAAGGAUGCCUUAGCUUUUCCCGUUGUCACUUGCGUGCGACGCUUUAAAGCCUUUACAGACCACCCUACCCUACCUCCCUCUUUUUUUUUUCUCUUCCCUUCCUUUCCUCCAUCACACCACCCCGCCCACACACACACCUCCUCUCCUGGCUGCAGUGGCUGUGUCUGUAGGUCUCCUCCCUGGAUCCCAGAAAGCUUUAGCUCCCUUGCAAAUCUGUCAUUCUAAAUUUGCGGCAGAUUAUGUUCUCCCCUCAGUGGGAGAGCGGUGAUAUAUGAUAUGCAAGGCCCCUAUUGAUUGCCUGAUCUGGUGGCAAGAGGGAGCUGAAAUGAACUUGAAAUGAACAUCAUGCCUCAACUCAUUGUGCGUAUAAUACUCUACUUAAUCCCACAUUUUUCUCUGCCAUGGAAUUCAAUUGAUCAAUCAUGUCUGUGUGAUAGUACCAUUUGGGAGGGUUAUUGCCAUUCUAUUCUGCUGCUUGACCUUUUUUCACAGGCUGAGGCCAGAGGAUGAACCCGGCUCUCCCACGAAGAGCCCGAGCAGCUAUAAAAAAAAAAGAGUGUGUGAGUGUGCGAGCGUGUGUGUGCGGGUGUCUGAGCAAGUGCGAGUGCGUGCAACCUGAAAUUGUGCUGAUAGCUGCAAAAAUGACAAGCAAUAAAUAAAGUUGUGGGUGUCGCUAACGAUGACUUGUAAACGCUCGGUUCUGUUUUGUGUUUUUCUAGCACAAAUGAACGCAGGAACGUGGCGAUGCACCGAUCCAGUACUUCGUUAGGCUCAUCGGGUUUCGACCCCGAUCCACAUUAAAUGCAGUAUGUUUGAUCAUGUAGUCGUGACUGAAACAGUUUUUGAAUCAGUUUUAUCAUAUUACAUCAUUUGAAUAUUAAAUACAAGGAAAAGAGAGCACUGGUAGAGGAUCAGUACUCUGAAACAGAAGAGAAAAUGUGGGAGUGAUGCGUCGCUAUCAUUCACCGCUCAAUGUAUCAUCUGUUAUUGGAGCUCUAAUAAAUCGAAAAUAUUUCAG